rnacentral:rRNA from 1 species
UGACCUCAAAUCGGGUGAGACUACCCGCUGAACUUAAGCAUAUCAAUAAGCGGAGGAAAAGAAACUAACAAGGAUUCCCCUAGUAACUGCGAGUGAAGCGGGAAAAGCUCAAAUUUAAAAUCUGAUGGCCUCUGGUCAUCCGAGUUGUAAUUUAGAGAAGCGUCUUCCGCGCUGGACCAUGCACAAGUCUCCUGGAAUGGAGCGUCAUAGAGGGUGAGAAGAAUGGAGCCACGGCUUCUGGAGCCGGG